AGAUAUGUUCGUAUGAUAGCGAACAGGAUAAUAAAAAGAAAUAUCAAACUAGA
ncrna:Fusobacterium sp. 1_1_41FAA 6A RNA